GACGAACGCUGGCGGCGUGCUUAACACAUGCAAGUCGAACGGAAAGGCCCUGCUUUUGUGGGGUGCUCGAGUGGCGAACGGGUGAGUAACACGUGAGUAACCUGCCCUUGACUUUGGGAUAACUUCAGGAAACUGGGGCUAAUACCGGAUAGGAGCUCCUGCCGCAUGGUGGGGGUUGGAAAGUUUCGGCGGUUGGGGAUGGAUUCGCGGCUUAUCAGCUUGUUGGUGGGGUAGUGGCUUACCAAGGCUUUGACGGGUAGCCGGCCUGAGAGGGUGACCGGCCACAUUGGGACUGAGAUACGGCCCAGACUCCUACGGGAGGCAGCGGUGGGGAAUAGUGCACAAUGGGCGGAAGCCUGAUGCAGCAACGCCGCGUGCGGGAUGACGGCCUUCGGGUUGUAAACCGCUUUCGCCUGUGACGAAGCGUGAGUGACGGUAAUGGGUAAAGAAGCACCGGCUAACUACGUG
rnacentral:rRNA from 1 species